GAUGAACGCUGGCGGCGUGCCUAACACAUGCAAGUCGAGCGAAGCACCUUACUUGAUUUCUUCGGGAUGAAAGUAUUGUGACUGAGCGGGCGACGGGUGAGGUAACGCGUAAGCAACCUGCCCUUCAGAUGGGGACAACAGCUGGAAACGGCUGCUAAUACCGAAUACGUUCUUUUUUGUCGCAUGGCAGAGAGAAGAAAGGGAGGCUCUUCGGAGCUUUCGCUGAAGGAGGGGCUUGCGUCUGAUUAGCUAGUUGGAGGGGUAACGGCCCACCAAGGCGACGAUCAGUAGCCGGUCUGAGAGGAUGAACGGCCACAUUGGGACUGAGACACGGCCCAG
rnacentral:rRNA from 1 species